rnacentral:rRNA from 1 species
GGGAGGGACUACCGAGUCAUCCAAGUCGAGCGGAACGAUCCCAGCUUGCUGGUAGGCGUCGAGCGGCGGACGGGUGAAUAAUGCAUAGGAAUCUGCCCGAUAGUGGGGGAUAACCUGAGGAAACUCAGGCUAAUACCGCAUACGUCCUACGGGAGAAAGCAGGGGCUCUUCGGACCUUGCGCUAUCGGAUGAGCUUAUGUCGGAUUAGCUGGUUGGUGAGGUAAUGGCUCACCAAGGCGACGAUCCGUAGCUGGUCUGAGAGGAUGAUCAGCCACAUCGGGACUGAGACACGGCCCGAACUCCUACGGGAGGCAGCAGUGGGGAAUAUUGGACAAUGGGGGCAACCCUGAUCCAGCCAUGCCGCGUGUGUGAAGAAGGCCCUCGGGUUGUAAAGCACUUUCAGUGAGGAAGAAAGCUUGUCGGUUAAUACCCGGCAAGGACGACAUCACUCACAGAAGAAGCACCGGCUAACUCCGUGCCAGCAGCCGCGGUAAUACGGAGGGUGCGAGCGUUAAUCGGAAUUACUGGGCGUAAAGCGUGCGUAGGCGGCUUGAUAAGCCGGUUGUGAAAGCCCCGGGCUCAACCUGGGAACGGCAUCCGGAACUGUC